rnacentral:sRNA from 1 species
AUGGAAGAUGAAUGGCUUGAACAUGCACAUGGUUCUUGAUAGCAGCAGCGGGAGGAGGAUGAAGAGUAAUGGCUGAGCUCCAGCUCAAGAAGCUCUUCAACUUCAUGGUGCCUUUCCUGGCCUCCUAGGUGGUCGGCUGAGGUAUGCACCAAACCGGCAAGUCACAAAACGGCAAUGGUGAAACUCCAGCAGGAGUCCA